GACGAACGCUGGCGGCGUGCCUAAUACAUGCAAGUUGAGCGCUGAAGGUUGGUACUUGUACCGACUGGAUGAGCAGCGCACGGGUGAGUAACGCGUGGGGAAUCUGCCUUUGAGCGGGGGACAACAUUUGGAAACGAAUGCUAAUACCGCAUAAAAACUUUAAACACAAGUUUUAAGUUUGAAAGAUGCAAUUGCAUCACUCAAAGAUGAUCCCGCGUUGUAUUAGCUAGUUGGUGAGGUAAAGGCUCACCAAGGCGAUGAUACAUAGCCGACCUGAGAGGGUGAUCGGCCACAUUGGGACGGAGACACGGCCCAAACGCAUACGGGAGGCAGCAGUAGGGAAUCGUCGGGAAUGGACGAAAGUCUGACCGAGCAACGCCGCGUGAGUGAAGAAGGUUUUCGGGUCGUAAAACUCGGUUGGUAGAGAAGAACGUGGGUGAGAGUGGAAAGCUCAUCAAGUGACGGUAACUACCCAGAAAGGGACGGCUAACUACGUG
rnacentral:rRNA from 1 species